rnacentral:tRNA from 1 species
GAGAGUAGCUCAGUUGGUCAGAGCAAUUGGCUGUUAACCAAUAGGUCACAGGUUCAAAUCCUGUCUCU